rnacentral:rRNA from 1 species
AAUAAACGCUGGCGGCGUGCCUAACACAUGCAAGUCGAGCGAGAAAGCUUCUUCGGAAGUUAGUAAAGCGGCAGACGGGUGAGUAACGCGUGAGAAUCUACCUUCUAGUGGAGAAUACCUUCGAGAAAUCGGAGUUAAUACUGCAUAAGUCCCUUUGGGGAGAAAGAUGGCCUCUUUGCUGUCGCUGGAAGAUGAGCUUGCGUGCUAUUAGCUAGUUGGUAGGGUAAAGGCCUACCAAGGCGAUGAUAGCUAGCCGGCCUGAGAGGGUGUACGGCCACACUGGAACUUAGACACGGUCCAGACUCCUACGGGAGGCAG